rnacentral:rRNA from 1 species
UAUUAGAUGAGCCUAUAUUAGAUUAGCUAGUUGGUGGAGUAAUAGCCUACCAAGGCAAUGAUCUAUAGCUGAUCUGAGAGGAUGAUCAGCCACACUGGAACUGAGAUACGGUCCAGACUCCUACGGGAGGCAGCAGUGGGGAAUAUUGGACAAUGGGCGAAAGCCUGAUCCAGCCAUGCCGCAUGAGUGAAGAAGGCCUUUGGGUUGUAAAGCUCUUUUAGUGAGGAAGAUAAUGACGGUACUCACAGAAGAAGUCCUGGCUAACUCCGUGCCAGCAGCCGCGGUAAUACGGAGAGGGCUAGCGUUAUUCGGAAUUAUUGGGCGUAAAGGGCGCGUAGGCUGAUUAAUAAGUUAAAAGUGAAAUCCCGAGGCUUAACCUUGGAAUUGCUUUUAAAACUAUUAAUCUAGAGAUUGAAAGAGGAUAGAGGAAUUCCUGAUGUAGAGGUAAAAUUCGUAAAUAUUAGGAGGAACACCAGUGGCGAAGGCGUCUAUCUGGUUCAAAUCUGACGCUGAAGCGCGAAGGCGUGGGGAGCAAACAGGAUUAGAUACCCUGGUAGUCCACGCUGUAAACGAUGAAUGUUAAAUAUGGGAAGUUUACUUUCUUUUUCCCCG